rnacentral:rRNA from 1 species
GAUGAACGCUGGCGGCGUGCCUAUACAUGCAGGUCGAGCGAACGGACGAGAAGCUUGCUUCUCUGAUGUUAGCGGCGGACGGGUGAGUAACACGUGGAUAACCUACCUAUAAGACUGGGAUAACUUCGGGAAACCGGAGCUAAUACCGGAUAAUAUUUUGAACCGCAUGGUUCAAAAGUGAAAGACGGUCUUGCUGUCACUUAUAGAUGGAUCCGCGCUGCAUUAGCUAGUUGGUAAGGUAACGGCUUACCAAGGCAACGAUGCAUAGCCGACCUGAGAGGGUGAUCGGCCACACUGGAACUGAGACACGGUCCAGACUCCUACGGGAGGCAGCAGUAGGGAAUCUUCCGCAAUGGGCGAAAGCCUGACGGAGCAACGCCGCGUGAGUGAUGAAGGUCUUCGGAUCGUAAAACUCUGUUAUUAGGGAAGAACAUAUGUGUAAGUAACUGUGCACAUCUUGACGGUACCUAAUCAGAAAGCCACGGCUAACUACGUG